rnacentral:lncRNA from 1 species
UUGGUGAUUAUAGUUUAGCCGGUAUAACAGCAUUACCUGAUCCAUGCCCUCUACCAUCUGCUGCCAAGAAGAAGGGACUUAGGGACAAGGAAAAGCUGUUUUAUGCCCCCAUGUCUGGAUUGGGCGAUCUUCUUUACGAUAAGGAUGCUGUGUAUACAAACAUAAAUGAUCACUUUGUCUAGUUCUCUAAGGUUGAUGAAACAGCUGCUGUUGGGGGUCGCAGAGGUAAAUAUUUCCUCUCUGUUUCUUAUAAACUUAUUUUUUUUUAAAAAAAAUAGACGAAUUCCAUUUGUUUUUGGCUUAUGGGAAAUUUACAUUCCCUUAUUUAGUUCAGCAAGAUAAAUGAUAUGCCUCAGGCUAUCUUUUGGUUAUAGCUUCUUUUGUUGUUUGAAUUGGUAAGUUCUUAUCAUAAACAGCUAUAGCUUUAAAAUUUGCUGCUAUUACCAAUUAGUAGGCCUUGAAUGUCGUUGCUUUCCUUUGCUUGCUCUGGAUUCCUUCCAUCCCUAUCAGUUACUCAUCAUAAUUUCUGGCUGAACUCUACUUAUUAUUGGUCAAGCGAAUUAAUAAGACCAAAUGUUGAUUAUGAAAUCUUCUCUUGUGCUGGUGUUUGUUUCAUCCAUAUCCUCCACGUUCAGUCUUUCUCUCUCUUUUGCAUUCGGAGGAGUGCUAUUUGCUUAAAUGGUCUUAGAAGUUGUUGAGAACUCCUAUAUGUUGUGAAAUUUUAGUACAUCUUUUUACCAAUUGCUUAGACACCGUCGGGACAGGAAUGGUUGUCGUUAAUCUUAUGAUUGAUUUCUAAAAAAACCUUAUGAUCGAUAGUAGUUUGUUGGAUUUUGUGCAUUUUCACUAAGCCGACCAAUUGAAAAGAAAAAUUGAGUUAUGUUACUGUCACCUCCCUACCAUGUUAUUACGAAAAAUGAUCCAUACAUAUGUCAAACUACAUUAGGUGGAUGCCAAUAGCAACUAAUGCGUGAAAAAAAUGAAAGAAGAACAGGAUUAUGUUAGGCACAAUUUUUUUUUGCAUAGACUAAUAAUUAAAAAUCUCACUUGUGUCAUGCAUGGAUCUACAACUGGUUUUUUUUUUUAACACUGGUAAUUUGUAUUUUUCAGUAUUACGGGCUAUGACUAGUUUUCUUAAUAAUGGAUAAAGAACAUAUUGGAUGUUGAGAUCACCUUUUUCCAACAUGCUAUAUGUUCUUGUUUUAUUUUUUGGGUCACAACUUUUGGCAAGACAUUUUCCCACUGACAAGUAUUAUCCUCUUGAUCUCAGGGAAGGUCAAUGAUGUCGGAGAGGCUUUAGUUAAAUCACUUCAGAACACGAAAUAUUCAAUCGAUGAGAAGUUAGAAAAUAGUUUUAUUUCUCUUUUCGGGAAAAAAACAUAAUCCAUCCUCAUCAAAUCAUGCUAAAGCUGAUCAAACUAAUGAUUUGGUGCCUGCGGAGCGAGAUCAGUGCGUCUUUGAACUCAACGGUGAUGGAUCAGAUGAAGACAAUGAUUCUGAAGAUUUGAAUGAGUUGGAACCACUACAGUUGAAGCGUACUCAUCCAAAGGAGUCAAAGAACACCUCUGAUGAUAGUUCUGAGGAAGAAGAUACUGUUGGAUCAGAGAAGCACCCAGGAUCGAGUAGUAGUUUCAGGGAACAUGUUGAUUUCCAUGACGGAAGAAUGAGAAGAAUAGCUAUCUUUGAUAAUGAUAAUGAUUUUGAUGAAAAGGUAAGCCAAUGACAUUCCUGAUCUAGUUCCUGUCCUUCUCGUUGUGCCUCAUCUUGUCUAUGAGGUGUUUUUGUAUAGUGGAUAAAAAACAAGUAGAUAGCUAUCUGUACCAGAAUAUCAAGGAGGAAAGCUUAUGUCUCCUUUUUUUCUUUUCUUUCCGAUUUUGAAAUCUAAUGAACCUGUUUCUUUCCACCUAUGUAAGAGUCCCUGGAAACUGUGCCAUGUUUUUUUUUGGGAGCAGAGGUUCUUUGCAUGAAGAAUAGUGCUUUCUAAAACUCAUCAAUUACCCCUUUCCAAUAUUUAUAUAAACCUCACCUGCAUAUUAUUGUUCACAUUAAUUUGUAUAAGUUGUUACGUCUUCACAAAUAUGCUCUGAACUUAAGUUUUGACCCAAGUUACGCUCUUGUAUGUCUUGGUUCACCGUGUGGUGGAAUUGGACUUUGAUAUGCAUAUAUGUUGUAUUUAUACUAUAUCAUUAAAUCCAAGAUUAUAAUGAAGCAGAUGUCGAAGAGGAUGCACAAGACGAGGAUUUAGAGGACACUGAUGAAGAAAAUGAAGCUUAUCAAAAUUCAGGGGAUGGUGAUGAUUUUGAUACAGAUGGUAGGUUUUUGAUCUUCAUUUAGUACGGACAUCAUUCUUUGUGUAGUUUGAUCUCCAUUUAGUACUUCAUCAUCCUCUUGUCCUAGGAGUAAAUGUAGUUCCUAACAAAGUGUUUUAGUAUGCCAGAAAUUAGGAUCUCAUAGAAGGAGCAGAUGAGGUACACUCUAGACUCUACUUCAUGGAUCACUAAUCAUUAGUAUCAAAAGAAGGAAAGACAUUUCACUAUACUAAAAAUCAUAGAUUUUGUAAUGUAAAUCUCCCAAUCACCAUUUAGCAGUUCAUCUCCUUGGUAAAUGUGGUUCGAAGAAAUAAAAAUAUACAACAAUCAUGAAAUUUGACAAUACUGAAAAUCAAGAAACCAUAGAUUUAGAAAAGUAAAUCUUCUAUAAAGAAUGAAUUUUGAAACAAAAGAGUUAAAAUACAGUUAAAUAAGUCGUUCACACAUAGAUUAUAUCAUAAAUCUGAGUAAAAUCCGACAGUUCAUAUAUCUAAAUCUUGGUCAAUUGAAACGUGAAAUGUUUACAUUCAACUAGUCCCACAUAAGCAUAACACUAAGAAUCAAAACAAUUUCCAACAAUUGAAACAGAUGACUAUCAAAUGGAACAAAUUAAGAAUAAAUCACUUUUGUUGACAUAUAUAAUGGAUAAUCGUAAAAAGAAAUUUAGAGUUUUAAUGAAUACUGGUAAUCAAAAAACAAUUAGAAGAAUUAAGGAAAGAACUCACAAUGCCCAGGGAUUGAGUUGCCGUGAACAAAGAAGAAGGGGGAAAAGCGGCUUGAAACCCUAGCGGUGACGAGAACCGUGUGUGGAGAUGAGAGUGGAGAGAGUUCAAGAUUGCAGAAAUUAGCAAAGAGUUUAGUUUUUAUUAAGGAAAUACUGUUUGCUUCUUUAGCUAUAUAUAUAUAAGGAAACAAAUAAGAUAAAUGCAUAAUAGCGAUGCUAUUGUUAAUUUGAUAAUUACCUAACAUGCUUUAAUAAUAUUACAAUUCAAUCAAGUGAGUAAAUAGGAUUUAAGAUCCACUAAUUGAUAAUAUAAAGCUUUAACUUAAAAGAUCGGAUUGAUUGGUUAAAAGAUAGAGAGAUUUAAUUACGAUCAUCAAUAAUUCACGUUAGUAUGCUUGAUAUGGAACGUGGUAAUUGCGGUUUUAGUAUCAUUUUAUUUAUGGAUGUUAAUUCACUUAUUUACACCUAUAAUUAUAUUUUUACUUGAUUAUUAUGUUAUUUAAUGGUGUAAAAUUUAUAAUACUUAUAUGUAAAGAAAGAAGAAUAAAUAUUGGUUUCUUUCUUAUACAAGUCAAACUGCUCGAAUUGAUUAUUAUGUUAAUUCCUAUUAUCAACUUUGUUUUCUUAUACAUAUAUAGCCAAAGAAGCAAACAAUAUUUCCUUUAUACAAACUAAACUCUUUGCUAAAUUUCUGCAAUCUUGAACUCUCUCCACAAACGGUUCUCGUCACCGCUAGGGUUUCAAGCCAUUUUUCCCCCUUCUUCUUUGUUCACGGCAACUCAACGUCUCCGCUAGGGUUUCAAGCCGCUUUUCCCCCUUCUUCUUUGUUCAUGUCAACUCAUCCCUGGGCAUUGUGAGUUCUUUCUGUAAUUCUUCUAAUGUUUUUUCAUUACCAGUAUUUAUUAAAAACUCUAAAAUUCUUUUUACGAUUAUCCACUAUAUAUGUCAUGAAAAGUGAUUUAUUCUUAAUUUGUUCCAUUUGAUCGUCAUCUGUUUCAAUUGUUGGAAUGUGUUUUGAUUCCUUGUAUUAUCCUUAUGUGGGACUAGUUGUAGGUAAAUAUUUCACGUUUCAAUUGACCAAGAAUUAUAUAUAUGAACUGUAGGAUUUUACUCAGAUUUAUGAUAUGAACUAUGUGUGAAUGACUUAUUUAAUUGCCUUUUGACUCUUUGUUUCAAAAUUCCUUCUUUAUGGAAGAUUUACUUUUCUAAAUCUAUGGUUUCUUGAUUUUCAGUAUUGUGAAAUUUCUUGAUUGUUGAUAUUUUGAUUUCUUCGAAGCACAGUUACCAAGGAGAUGAACUGCUAAAUGGUGAUUGGGAGAUUUACAUUUCAAAAUCUAUGAUUUUAAGUAUAGUGAAAUGUCUUUCCUUCUUUUGAUACUGAUGAUUAGUGAUCUAUGAAGUAGAGUCUAGAGUGUACCUCAUCUGCUCCUUCUAUGAGAUCCUAAUUUCUCGCAUACUAAAACACUUUGUUAAAGUGGAUUAGGCUGUCUUUCUUUUGAUUGUUCAUAAGUAUACUUUGAGGGACUUUAUGCUUUAAAUUUUCCGUUGUCACUAACAGCGUGCUUUUUGAGCAGAAAUAAUUAGAUGGAAUCGUUGAAGGACAACAUGAUGACUAUUAGCUCUGAUGAGUUUGAGAAUAAUAUCAUGGCUGAUGCUGAGGAAUUUUCUCCAGCUAUUAAACAACAGGACAGUGGGACUCACAUGGUAUGGUUUUCUUCCUCUCCUAUUUUUGAGUAUUUUUAUUCGUUUUUUAUGAAGAACAAUACUGAAACUUAUUUAUUUCGGUACAACAACAUACCCAGUGGAAUCCCACAAGUGGGGUCUGGGGAAGGUAGGAUGUGACCUUUACCCCCCCCCCCCCCCCCACCUUUUUGGAUAGAGAGGCUGUUUCCGAUAACCUUUUUAUUAUAGAAGAAUGGUCUUUUUUCUUCUGAUCGAUAGUUCUGCAAUAGUCAAACAUAUCUAAGGUAACACAACCAACAAUUACUUGGAUGGAUGAAAAUUACUAUUCAUUUUGCUUCAUUUGAACUCAUCUUAUUCCAAAUCCAUUUUUUUUAUUUUCACAAUGUAGUUAUAUGGGCAAUUUAAACUCCCCUAUUUUUUUGAGAAUCUGCUUCGUUAGAUCUUGCUCUUUCUGAUACUCUCUUGUUUGUCUUUCCAUUGUUUUCCUUAUUUUUUUGAGAGAUGUUGAUGAAUACACUAUUUAAAUGAGCCUUUGUAAGUGAACUUGUUGAAAGUGCCCAACCUAAAUAGAGAGGAGUAGAAAUAAAUGUUUCAUGGGACUGACACCAACUAGUAUGAGUUUGAGCUGUAAUUGAUAUGUAUAUAUCUCUUUCAUCUGAUUACAAUACCUCUUUUGUCUUGGAAUGCAGGUUCCAGAGGACGACUUCAAGGCUGUUGCUUAUAAGCAGGAAUGGAAUGAAGUAUCAAAAUUACCUGCACACUACAUUAGGAGAGAAGACAUGAAGAUCAAAGAUGUUGCUAUGAAACAUGUAUUGCCUUUCCUUCCUGGGAAAUCAUUGAUGAAGUUUCGGGCAGUGUCCAAUGAAUGGAAUCAUUGGAUAGUUUGUCCGUUAUUAGCAUACCAGCAAAGCACUUCAUUCCAGAAACUUUCAGGCUACUUUUAUCAAGUUGUGGAUGUGGAUUUCCAAUCUGAUCCUAAUUUCUUGUCUCUGGACCAUUCUGCGAAUGGUAUCCCCAAUCCUUCCCUGGGUUUCUUGCCUGAAAGGAUUAAAGUUCUCAGUUCUAGCAGCGGGUUGCUCCUUUGCCAGGGGUUGGAGAGUUAUUACGUUUGCAAUCCUCUGACCCUAGAUUGGGAACGUAUCCCUCCUCAUCAAUAUUAUCACGGAUCUGAUCCAGCUGUCAUUCUUGCGUUUGAUCCUCAGGGUAAUAUUGAAUCGUAUUUUCACCUUGUCGCUGCUGUCCCUCUUCUUGAUCAACCAGUUGUGUUCUUUGAGAUUUACUCGUCUCAAUCAAAUUCCUGGAGUCGCUCUUCUUCAGAGUGUCUUGAGUUGGAAGAUACAACUCUUGUUGGUGGGGGAUUAUAUAUGAAGGGGAUGGCGUACUGGAGUACAACAUCAAAUGGUGUGCUAGCAUUUGAUGUGAAAAAUGAGGUUGGUGCAGUUCUACGUGUGCCUAUUCCACCUGGGAGAUAUGGUGCCUUGACUCAGGUAAAGGAUGAGCUAUCCUAUGUAACUGUUUACAACGAUUGUGGGGAUGUUUUUAUGUUAGAUAUAUACGGAGGAAUGGACAUGAGUCUGAAUCACAGUGUCUGCAUAAAUCUUGGACACAAGAAGUCUCGCCAAACACUGGAGGAAGAUCCCUUUAUUGACAAUGGUACUGUGUUGUGCAGCGUAUUACCCUGCAUAAACAGUGGUGAUGACAUUGUGGUGAUCUGCACAACUGAAAGGAUAUAUCUUUAUUACCUGAGUGGGCAGAAGGUUGAGACUUUUAUGACUCCAGGACAACUAAAUCCGAAGAGAAGAUUCAUACCUUACACAAACAGCCUCGCUGCGAUACAUGAGCUGAAGAACUAGCUGUUGCUGUCAAGUAGAAUUCUCAUGUCCUUCCAUCAGAACUCCUUGAACAUUUUGCAUCUUCUUUUGUUUGUUAUUUGACUUGGAUUGCAGAUUAAGCUGUUUGAAUUGCUUUGUGUUUUUAUUAUAGACAUGUUUUGGAUUGCCAAUAGUUAUUGCGAGGUUUUAGUUGUCAGUUCCUUUCUACUGCUACUGUUUAUAUUUGACGAUGGAAUGUGACGUAUGAUUAGCUUUACGUUGGAGGUGGAGGGUAUUUACUACUUGAACCGAUCCCUCUUGUUUUUCUCAUAAUGAAGAAUUAAAGCUUAUAUUAUUCACGUUUACUAGUAUAUAAAUAAAAAGUUAUAAAACUAAAUUUUAUGAUAUGUGUUUUAUUGAAACUGGGAAUCGGGAAAAAUUCAAUUCAAUUCGGCAUCAAAGAAGGUAGUAGACAUCUGAUGAAAACAUAUAAUUUAUUUUAAUCGAACACAAAAUGUUAUUCUUCAAAAUAUUUCUAAUAAUUGUUUUGAGGAAAAUAUCAAAGGGAAAAGAAGAAAAUUUAGAAGAUUAACUAUGAUAAUAUUCGUAUAAAUUGGGUUUUCUCUACUUAUUGUCACGACCCAAGCCUAGGGCCUAGACGUGACCGGCGAAUAGGGAACCCAAAGGAACCCCAAACAAGCCUCAUAGCGUAUCAUUACACAUCCUUGGUCGCGGAAGCAAAAAAAAUGACCAUAAGCGAUAAGCAUAAUGAAGGGGGAAAUCGGGACUAAGGGAACAAGAGAAACAAAAAAAUAAGAAUGAUACAAAAAUACCAUAGAUGAGUCAAGCUCAAGCAUAAUACACAACUUGUCCAACACCACCUCUAAACAUGAGUACUUAGCGGGGGCCAAGACAAACUACCGGGCUCACCCUCAUAGACAAAACAUAACUAAAAAGAAAAACUCUUAUACAUAGCAAAAGAUCAUGAGCAACGUCCCCGGAAUGGAGGACUCACCAAUAACCUUGAUAGGAAAUCGUAUUAGCCACGCGGAGGAGGAUGGUCAAGCGGUGCUCCGGUCCCUACAUGGUGACAUCAUGUAGGCAUAGAGUAUGCGUUAGUACGUUUGAAUGUACUAAGUAUAUGGGAUGCAAUGCAAUGCUACAAUAGAUGGACAUCAUAGGAAAAAUGCAUAAUCAUACCCGAUAGAUAGCAUAUUAAAGAAAUGAUAUGUAUAAUGAUGCUUACAUAAAAAUCAUAUUUAGUGGGACGUAGCACAAGUGUGGUGAGUGACCAUCAAUAUAGUAUUUCCAAGGCCUACAACCCCCUUGGAGAGGCGAAAGAGGUACAAACCCCUCAAUGUGGUUACCCGGGCCUACCACCCCCCGAGCUAGGGACCAAGGUACAAACCCCUCGAUAUGGUUAUACGGGCCUACUACCCCCCGUACUAGGCAACCAAGGUACCAACCCCUCGAUACGGUUAUACGGGCCUACUACCCCCCGUACUAGGCAACCAAGGUACCAACCCCUCGAUACGGUUAUACGGGCCUACUACCCCCCGUACUAGGCAACCAAGGUACCAACCCCUCGAUACGGUUAUACGGGCCUACUACCCCCCGUACUAGGCAACCAAGGUACCAACCCCUCGAUACGGUUAUACGGGCCUACUACCCCCCGUACUAGGCAACCAAGGUACCAACCCCUCGAUACGGUUAUACGGGCCUACUACCCCCCGUACUAGGCAACCAAGGUACCAACCCCUCGAUACGGUUAUACGGGCCUACUACCCCCCGUACUAGGCAACCAAGGUACCAACCCCUCGAUACGGUUAUACGGGCCUACUACCCCCCGUACUAGGCAACCAAGGUACCAACCCCUCGAUACGGUUAUACGGGCCUACUACCCCCCGUACUAGGCAACCAAGGUACCAACCCCUCGAUACGGUUAUACGGGCCUACUACCCCCCGUACUAGGCAACCAAGGUACCAACCCCUCGAUACGGUUAUACGGGCCUACUACCCACCGUACUAGGCUUGGUCGACUCACAACACGUAUAUAGAGAAAAUCAUAUACAUGUGUCCAUUUCAUCAUCAUUUCAAUAAUUAUAUAACCAUUCGAUUCAUAAGACGUACAUUGGACCUUCCAUUUCCUAAGAAUUCUAUAAAUGGGCAUUUUGUCAAACACAAGGUGGGCUAUUGUUCAUGUAAAUGAAAUCAUGUACUUCAAGAGUACUAAGUCCAACCAAUUUCAAAAUCCAUAUAAAACAGCCCACCAACAACAUACAUAUAUAUAUACAUAUAUAACAACCUUCAUAAUUUGAUCAUUGAGGCAUGAAAACCAUAAACAUCAUAUAAUCAUUCCAUUUCAUGAUAAUAUACAAAAAUAGACCAUAAUAGGAUGUGUAGUAAUAAUUCCAUAAUUCAAGAGUUCAUAAAUGAUCAUAAGGACCCAUAAACUUGAAGUAAAAUAGAGGAUAAAUGGUUGGACUUGUGGAAAGGAAGGUUUCCACAAUCAACCCACAUACCUCAACUUUGGAGAAUUCUUGAUGAAGAUUGGAAUGGAGAAUUGCUUGAGAUUGAAUCUUGAAUCCGGAAUUAAAGCUUGGGAUCCUUGAAUUUGGUUGAUGAUCUUGGUGGAAUUUUUGGAGAGGGUUUAGAGAGAGUUUUUGGAUGUUUUGAAGUUAAAUGACUAAGUAUGGAUAUGUCCCCUUUUUAUAAAAACGUCCCAACACUUAGAAAAAAAAUUGAGGCGGGUGAACAGUGUUUUCGGCUACUGGAAUUUGCAUUUUCUGCCGGACAGGUUUUACGAAAAUGGUCAUAACUCCUUCAUCCUAACUCGGAAUGAGGCGAAACAAAUUGCGUUGGAAAGCUAACUCACAGAGCUUUAAUUUUGAUAGUUUGAGCUCCUUCCAGUUCCUUGUGUGCUGAGAGAUAUGCCCCUUUAAAGUUGACCCUCAAAAUCGCAUUUUUUGCGAUUUUCAAGUUUUGAUACGGUUGUUCUAAAAUUCGGGUUAGACUCAUUUCCCACUCAAUUUGACCCCCUGAAUAAGAAUAUGAAGUCGAAUUUCCGAAAUGAUGCACGGAUUUUGAGAUAUAUGGAAAUUACAAUUUUAGGUGUUUUCGAAGCACAUUUUCGGACAUUUUUGGGGUCGUUUCACUUAUAUACUGGUAAAAAAUUAAAAUUAUCUAAUGUAAUAAUUAAGAUGGACACAAACUAGGAGAUACACGCUAAGUAAAAGUGUAUCUAUCACUAAUAAAAUUUGAUGCAAACUACACAAUUUUUACUACUUUAAGGUCUAAUUACAUAAUUCUCGUAAGUUUUCAAAACUACUAUUUGUGUCAGAUUUCGAUCUUCAGAUACAUGUAUAAUAUACUCGGAUACAUUAGGUUAAAAAUAGGUGUAAUAUUAUCUUGGAUACACUAACUUUCUCGCUCAUCUCUCUCCUACAUCGCUUGCCUCUCGCCCUCUCUCCCUCACCUCUUUUCCUAUGUAUCUAAAUUUCAGAAUGUAUCUAGUUCCCCAAAUUUCAGAGAGUUAGUGUGAUGAGAUACACUGACUCUCUCGCUUGCCUCCCUUCUCUCUAUCUCUCGCUUGCCUCUCUCUCUAAGUAUUUUUAUUUUAGAGUGUAUCUAAUAGCAAAAAUACAUGUAUAUAAGAGUGUUUAAUUUCAAAUUUGAUAUAAAAUUAUUAAUUAGUGAGACAUUAUAUCAUUAUCUCAAACUCUAUGGAAAAUUAAUUUAGGGGGUUUGAAUUGACUUUUUAAAAGUAAUUUAUAAGCACCAUAAUUGGGCACGCCUAGCUUUUGAUAUUUUCAAAACUUUCUCUGCCUAAUUUUUUUUUAAACACUUUUUUAUAAUUACAAACACUUACUAAAUUAAAAAAAAAAGAUUAAAAAAAGAAAAAAUAACUUACAAUAAUUCAAUCUAGACACUCUCCAAAAAAUGAUAGAGAUAGUUAUAUAAUAAGAUUCGUAUAAUUUAAGUUACGAACUUACAAGUCACACUAAGGAGUAUAUAAUAUAACCGAAUAACCUUAGUAAAUACUCUCCAUAUGUUAACAGUGUCUUCUUUAAACCCUUUUCAGUAUUUUUCCCUCCCAUUCUUCUUCUUCUUCGCCACCGCCGACGAUGCUCUUAGUCUUUUCAGGGUUGCAGUUGGAAUCCCAGAACGCCAAAUUGAUUCAUAGACUUUUCUCUCUCUGCCAUGGCUAUCGACGGAGAACAGUCGCACAAAUCUCACAUGUCACGUCAGUCUGGUCCUACGGCCAAGAAAAAAUCCAAGUCCGACAAGAAAAAAAAGGUUGCUUCCGACGAAAACAAUAAACAACAUAAUACUAAGGUUUCUUGAAUAGUAUUUUUUCUUGUAGUUCUUUUUUGUUCUUUAUGUACCUGGGUUCGUCUACUGUUUUUUUUUUUUUUAUGACAAGGGAAACCACAGCCGCUACCGUUUGGGUGCGCAUAGGGUAAAACCCCCUCUCCUAUUCAAUACCUCGCAAACCACAUAGGAGAGGUAAACCGCACUAGCCAAGCCUGGUGCGACGAGCUCGACCCAGAAGGCAAACCCCUUGCUUUUGCUGGCAAGGGGUUUCUAACCUGAGACCUCCAACAUGAAAGUCCCAAGCGCCACCCCGAAGGGUAUCUACUGUUUUACUCUAUUCUUGACUAAUUUUUAUUAAUAAUCUGGGUAAAUGUUUGUUUCAGUCUAUUUUGUUGGUCUAGCCAGUCAUAUAUGAUUGGUCUACCCAGUCAUAGAUGAAUAGAUGUUGGUAGUUCUUUUAACUCUAGACCUAAGUCUCCUCACUGGCUCCAGGGUCUUACCAUUUAUCAUGUAAUGGAGAAAGCAUAUCUACUUUUGUACUCUUUGCAUCUUCUUGAUUACUUCAUCAAUAAAAUAAUAAUUUGGGCACAAGUCCAAGAUAUCUUGAAUAGUAAUUUCUUGAGACUUAUAAUGUAAAUUUGUAGGCAUUUGCAUUUAAUUCCACGGUGAAAGCAAAGAAAUUGCAAGCACGAGCAACAGAGAAGGAGCAGAAGAGGCUUCAUGUCCCAACAGUUGAUAGGUCCACUGGUGAACCAGCUCCAUAUGUUAUUGUAGUGCAGGGACCUCCCAAGGUUGAUUUCACAUGGUUGUUUUUGGUUAGAUGUCAUUCAUUGGGUUUUAGAUUUGAUCUUCUUAUGUAUUAUGCUAUUAUAGGUUGGGAAGUCACUGUUAAUUAAGUCUCUCGUGAAGCACUAUUAUUAUGCUAUUAUAGGUUGGGAAGUCACUGUUAAUUAAGUCUCUCGUGAAGCACUAUACAAAGCAAAAUUUACCUGAAGUUUGAGGUCCCAUCACUGUAGUAUCAGGUAUGGAUUGGCUUCCCACCUUGUUCCUUUUUCCGGUUAGCUUAGUCCAUAAAUGAAUAAUUGGAAGUAUUAGAAAGAAAGUAUGGAUUCACCUGAUCACAUCUGAGAUAUUAUCUUUGAUGGUUUCUGUUUAUCUCAUGUUUCGUCUUGAUUGUGAUUUUUAUCUCCUUCAAAAAGGAGGUAGAGAGGAUAUCAAAUAUGCUGGAUGUGUUGGGUGGUUGUGGAAAUUAUUCAUUUAACAUCUUACAGUAUAUCCAUUUUCUUGUUCCUUAUCCUUUUCCUAUUCCUCAUUUCAAUUACAAUGGUAGGCUUUCGAGAUGGAUUCCGUACUUUAGAGAAGACCUUAAUUAAAUUUUCCUAAUAGUUCCCCUUAGCCCAUAUAACAUUUCAAGUUUAAUGAAUGAAAUAAAAGAGAAAAGCUAAUUUUCUUGUAUAAAGAUGUUUUUUGUGUAGGAGGUUAUUCUACUUUCAUUUGGGUUUCUUUCAACUUAAUACACUCCGCAUUCAGAAUAACUUCAGUUGGCUGGUUUUUACUGGGUUUGACAUUAUAUUUAGUUCUCCACAAGCAAGACAUGCCUCCAAAAUCAGUUGGGACAUGGUAUACAGUGAGUGCUUGGUUUCGCGUUCGAUUAAUCUGCUGUGGUUGUGAUGCUGUUACUGACUCUGAUAUGUAUAUUAACUUAAAAUUGUAUUUUAUAGCUAUACUUUUUUUCUCUUUUCGAUUUUUUGCUAUGUGAUCGAGGAUAUGCUUUUCUGCUUUAUUGCAAUAUGUUAGUAACUGGUCUUGUCAAAUGUGCACUUAAACCCGGUAGGCAAGGCACUUUGUAGGAUGAAUGUUGUGCCUUGCUAAAUUGCUGUUUCGGUGGAAGCUCUUAAUUGGUGAUUCAACACAAAACCUAUGUUAAUUAUGAAACUCUUGAGUUUUGCCUAUAGGUUGACUAUAAAUCAUUAAGGUGGCUGGAUCAAUUUAGUGUGAAGUGUUAAGGAAACUCGGCUGAUGGAAAUAUUCUAGUCACUACUCCCUAGGAAUAGGAAAUUAAAAUAUUUUUACAAGAGAGUUAGUUACUUCUUACAAUUGCAUUGUGAACUUAAAAACUUAACUAGAAAUAGAGUGGAACUUGAACUACCAUGGUCUUUAUCCACCAAUAUAUUAACUUAAUAUGCAGUGUUUUAUUUCCAUCAAUUUUGCAUCUUUUUUCUCUUAGUUUGUAUUUAGUUGAGCGUUGUUAAUAUAUCCCAUAAAAUAGCUUUUCUAUGCAUUUUGCCUCUGACAAUAUUGAUAAUAUCUAGAAGACAUUUUUUUUCCUCUUGAUGUCCCAAAGUAAGGUGUCAACUUAAUCAAUUAUAAGAGUAGCUAUAUAUGCAGUAUUGACAUAACUAUAUUCUAUUGCGUUUUACUUGGUUCUUUGGUAUUGGAAAAUUAUUGUUAAUUCAUUUGUGACAUUGUAGGUAAGCAGAGACGUUUGCAGUUUGUGGAGUGUCCGAAUGAUAUCAAUGGGAUGAUUGAUGCGGCAAAGUUUGCGGAUUUGGCAUUGCUUCUCAUUGACGGUAGCUAUGUCUUUGAAAUGGUGCGCUUUUCUUUCUUAAGAGAAAAAAGACUCUUUAGGAUAAGCAUAAGAUUAUUCUAGCGUUUUCUCAUUGAAUAUGUAGCAACUACUCUACUCUAAGGAUGGUUUAUUCGUAGCAAGUUAGGUGAGAUUGAAUUAUAUGCAGAUAUUAUCAUUAAUGUAAGUUCUUGAUUCCUCUGUCUUUCAAAUUGAUCCUCUUUGUCCCGUUUUAUUUGACUUGCCUUUUCUCAUGACAUGCAUAUAUAUUAGUAGUUGAAGAAAGUGUAAUACUUUAUUAACUCUAUACCAUGAUUCCCUCAGUAAUACCUGAUCACUUUUAACAACUAUUUUCAGUGUUAUCUUCUGACACUAUCAAUUCAAUAUGCUUGUUAAGUUAUUUAUUGGUGUGUUUGAUCAAAAUCUCUCACAGAAUAGCAGAGGCAGAGGGAGUAUCAGUUAGAUUCCUUACACAAACUUAAUUGGUUAUAUUAAAAUUGACAUUUGUUGUAUGCUUCCAUCUUGUUACCAAGGUAACACAGAGGGUGUUAUAUUCUUCCUCCAGUACCUUUCGCAUUUACUGAUUGGUGAUUUUUGCCAACUUUAUUUCCUCUUUGAAAGUUUCUUAGCUGAUAUUUUUUUUGUUGGUAGACCUUGUGAUUGGUUUAAUUAUUGUCACGACCCGAGCCUACACCCUUGACGUGGCCGGCACUCGAUAACCAUUGAUGUUCUCCAAACUAACUCCCAUCCUGGCUGACUAUAAGUGGAAGACUAACUCAAACUUACAAAGCUUAAAAACUGAAUAAAAUUCAUGAAACUUAAAUAGAAAUCUUUAACUCAACAGAAAACUCUGAAUAAAAUAAAUUAUUCAACUCGCUAUAAAAUACGCAACUUAAAUCUUUAAAACAUUUAGUAAAAUAAAUAAUACAGACUUCUCAAUUAUACUGACUAUCUAUGAAGCCUCUAACUGAUAAAGAUGGAAGUCGGGACAAGACCCAUGACAUCCUGACUAAACUGAAAAGUAAAUGAAAUCCUCCGGAAACAAGGAGGCUCACCAUAGCGAACUCGAACUCCCGGAUGUAUAACGAAUCUCCUGUUGAUAAUCCUAAACACUUGUGUCUGCAUUAUGAAAAGAUGCAGGCCAAAUGGCUUAGUAUGUGGAAUGUACGAGCAUGCAAGGGGAAUUCUAAAACAUAAACAUACGCUUGAAACUUGAUAAAAACGAAACAUACUUAUCUCAUUUCAAAUUUACUCAACUCAAGAAAUACUCAAGGAUACUCAAAACUACUCAAACUUACUCAACUCAGAAGUAUUCAAGGAUAAGAUACUCAACUCAGAGAUUAGGUACUCAACUCAAAGAUAUGAUAUUCGACUCUGGGUACUCAACUCAAUAAAAGCAACAAUACACAUGCAAUAUAUGGAAAGCUUUAUAAAACAGUAAAUGCAACUUAGUUCGUUUAAGAAAAUGCAAUAACAAAUUCAACUUUACUUAGAUAAUAAAGUAAUAUAGUUUCUGUGGGAGUUUCUCUAACCGACAACCACCACUAUGAGCCUAAGUGGUGACACAACGUCUUGCCCACGCUGCUAGAACUGUCCUAUACUUUGCCGUCAUAUAGAACGCUUAACUUAGUGGAUCCACUAGCUUAUGCUAAAAGCAUCUUAAGGAGUCAUCUAAAAAGUAUGAUCCUUUACUACCCAUGAUGGCUACAUGGCUUAUGGAGACGUGAAUUGUCUGAACUCAAACUCGUCCCCAUAUCGGUACUUAAUACUACUCCCAAAAUAUCUUAGCUCAUAUGUUUGUAAAAACAAAGCUUCCUUCUUUGGUUUGAGAUAAUUACUCAAAAACUUAGCUUAAAAGCUCUCUUGGAAUCGAUGUUCCCUUUCUUGCUCAAAACUCUUUUGGAAAUCUCAGUAAAUGUGAAAACAUUUUCUCUUGGGAAUACUUAGUUCCCAUAUAUCAUUUUAAAGAAAAUGAACUUUAUUCUUACUCUUUACUCAACUUCAAAGCUCAAGUCUUAAAACAAAGUUAAAACAUUUGUAAAAGACUUCUUAAAAUAUGGUUCAUGCCGAUUUAUGGACGUGAUCGACUCAAUGCAAGGUUUUCAAUGACCAUAGAUAGAACUAAAUAGUUGGAACUCAAGAACUUCAAUGAUACUACCCAUCUCAAGACUGUUCGACUUAUAGGGUUCAUGCAAAAUUAUGGACAUGUAUAACCCAACUCAAGAACUUCAUGGGUAACAUGUAAUAGUCCCAUUAUUAGGAAUAUAAUCUCGAAAAAGAUUAGGAACUCAAUACUCAAGACUUAGAACUUGAAGAUACUACUCCUUUCAAGGAUACUUAACUUAUGGAGUUCAUGUGGAAUUUAUGGGCAUGAACAACUCGACUUGAAAGUCUACAUAACAACAUGGAACUUAUGUAAACGACUCUUCUCAUUCUCAUACUUGCUUCCUCAAGAACUUAACACAAAUCGAUGGUGGAUCUCAAAGGAUUCACAAUUGAACUCAAAGGCUUCCUUGAACUCUACUCUUAACUCUCUCUUGAAUGUGAAUUAUGAAUUCAAGAGUUAUGGUUCAUGCUAUGAAAGGUCUCAUGAUGACAAAGUAGACUCAUGAACACAUUCUCCUCAUUCUCUUACUCACUUGCUCGAGUCUUGAUACAAGUUAUUAGAAAUUGUAGAAGACUCCUCACAAAGACUCAAAGGGACUUUCUCAAAAAUAUUUGAAAGAACUCUCAAAACUUGACUCUCAACUCUACCUUGAAUUUGAUUUAUGUAUUCAAGGUUCUGAUUUGUGAUAGGAAAGAUCUUGGGAUAUUUAGGAAUGUUUUUAGAUAGUUAAAUAUGAGUAACGAUUGAAAAACACGUUCUGGGGAGCCAGUCCACGACGCGGAGAUGCAUUAAUAUGUUUGGUUGAAAUAAUUUUUGAAACCGUGGAGUCCGCAACCUCUCUGGGACGCUGAGCGAAAAUUUUCACACCGAAGGAACAGGUCCGUGACGCGGACCUGUCGCGGACCUGGUACCUGUUCCUUGUCCGACUUUUUCUUCCUCAUUUUCUAACCCCAAUUCGCUUUGAAUCGAACAGUUUCUUCCCCAAUCACUUGAAUUCGAUUACUCAACAUAAGUACACUCUAAUCUACUCAAUACAGCCCUCUAAAGACUCACAUUCAUCUCAAGAAAUCACCAAAACCCCAACACAAAAAGAUUUAGGAUGAACUUUAAGAACAACACCUAUCAAGAACUCAUCAAGGACUCUAAUCUUUCAACUUUUAAGAAUGAAAUUGCGCUAAAAAUAACAUGAUUGGCGUGUGAGUGAACAAAUCCAACACUAUGGAAGCUUACAUACCUGAAAGAAUCAUCUUUUUGAAGGACUUGAAGGAAAAUCUUGAAAGAUGAACCCUAGCCUUAGCGUUUCUUGAAGUCCUUGAGCAUUAGAAUUUUUGGAGUGGAUGAGAGAGAGGCUUUGAUUUAAGAAAACUGAUUUUCUACACGUUUAGGGCAAUUUAGAUGACAUUCUAAGGCUUUUUAGGACCAAAAUACCCUUUAAGAAAUAAAUAAAACGAGAUGGGAGUCGGAAUAAUUUUUCACCAUGCAGUAAGGUCCGUAUUGGAUCCGUAACGCGGAGCCAUCGCGGAGAUACUGCCAGGUUUGAGCGUCGUUAGUAAAUCAGUCAUUAACUUGUUACUCAGAGCUGGGAAUUUUGCAAACUUGGUGGUGUUGGAAAGAGGACUCGAAGGGCUUUAAUUUAAAAUCUUAUGGGUCUCCUUACUCAUCCUGUACUAAAAGUUAUGGUUGUUUGAAGUUGAACCAAAACUUAAGAAAAAUUUAGGAAUGACUUGAAUGAACUCUCUUUAGUUCUUCUUGAAACUCAAGGUGCUAUAUCUAGUGACCUUAACGCUUAGGAAAAUUUAAAUUGCUGAGUAGAAACUUACUCACUACGAAGGACGGGUCGAGUCUUAGCUCUAAAAUUCUCUGGGAGACCUUUGAAUUCCUUAAUAUACUGCAAAAUCAUGGAUUUCCUAAAGUUAUGGGUGUUCUUACGCAUCUCGACCAGUUCAAGGAUGUUAAGAAGCUUAAAAAGACGAAGCAACUGUUAAAACAUAGAUUUUGGACUGAGAUAUAUGAUGGAGAUAAAUUAUUUUACUUGUCUGGUCUUAUCCAUGGGAAGUAAGUCCCUGGAUUCCAUAUUUGAAAAUACAUGUUUAGCAUGCUACAUUGAUAUAAUGUAAUAUUUCUAUUUAAUUUCUGAAACAAUUUUUUGUUAAUGAGUAGGUACUCUAAACGUGAAGUGCAUAAUCUUGCUCGGUUUAUCUCUGUCAUGAAGUUUCCUCCUUUAUCCUGGCGCAUGUCCCACCCCUACAUUGUUGUAGAUCGAUUUGAAGAUCUAACUCCCCCUGAAAAAGUGUGCAUGGACAACAAGUGUGACAGAAAUGUCAUUUUGUAUGGUUAUCUUCGUGGAUGUAAUUUGAAGAAAUGAACAAAGGUCUGUGAUGUGAAUGCUUUGUUUCUUGUACUUUUCUUGUAUUUGGUUGGGAAAUAACUUUUAGUACUACAGUUUCAAAAAAUAACUUUUUGUACUAAUUCAUGUUAAAUAAAAUUGUGAUUAUGCUAUGAACUGGCUGUUUAUAGGCAUAGAAGCAAAGGUUCGUGCACCCUGUAAGGUCAAUUGAAAGUAAUAUAGUUGCUGAGACUUGAGAGAUGACAUAGCAAUAUGCCUAAUAUCUUAUGGAGUGUUGGUUGGCUCUAUCGGGCUACAAAUAGAUGAAUUUUAAGAGUGACAAUACCACAGAUCUGGUUCAAAUACUUGGAGAAAAUCAUCAAGCUUAACGUUCAAAUGCAUAUUAUGUAUCUAGUGGCUAAUAUAGAGAAUUUUGGCUAUUGUUUUAGGAAUUUUGGGUAUAGAGUGGACCUUUGGCCUUUUUGGUGUAAACUUAUCAUAUGUGAGGAGGAAAAAUGAGACUCUUAUCAAUGUUUUGUAGAUUUUGCACAGAGAAUCUUUUGUAGUAUCCAACAUUGGCUUGGUGCUUGGCUAUUUCACUUGUGAAUAAUAUUUUCUUUACUUGUCAACAAUCUGAGUUUGUGAAUUCUACUGUUCGAUGUUCUAUUGAAAGGGAACAAGUUAUCUCCCUUUCAUAACAAAGUAGAUAAGACCACGAAAGAUGGAAGCCUUUGGGAUACUAACUCACUAGUUGUGUAAUGAUUCAUGUGAAGACUUUGUCAUUUUAUUUAUAUCUGGUUAUUUUAAUAUGGUGUUACAGCUAUUGAUAUAGCAGUUUAUUUCUCCCUUGUCCAUAUUCUAAAGCUGCUUCACAAUAUGACCAGGUACAUAUUGCUGGUGUUGGUGAUUAUAGUUUUAGCUGGUAUAACAGCAUUACCCGAUCCAUGCCCUCUACCAUCUGCUGCCAAGAAGAAGGGACUAAGGGACAAGGAAAAGCUGUUUUAUGCCCCCAUGUCUGGAUUUGGCGAUCUUCUUUACGAUAAGGAUGUUGUGUAUACAAUCAUAAAUGAUCACUUUGUCCAGUUCUCUAAGGUUGAUGAAACAGCUGCUGUUGGGAGUCGCAGAGG